rnacentral:rRNA from 1 species
GCGGCAGGCUUAACACAUGCAAGUCGAACGGUAACAUAAAGAAGCUUGCUUCUUUGAUGACGAGUGGCGGACGGGUGAGUAAUGCUUGGGAAUCUAGCUUAUGGAGGGGGAUAACUACGGGAAACUGUAGCUAAUACCGCGUAAUAUCGAAAGAUUAAAGUGUGGGACCUUCGGGCCACAUGCCAUAGGAUGAGCCCAAGUGGGAUUAGGUAGUUGGUGAGGUAAAGGCUCACCAAGCCGACGAUCUCUAGCUGGUCUGAGAGGAUGACCAGCCACACUGGGACUGAGACACGGCCCAGACUCCUACGGGAGGCAGCAGUGGGGAAUAUUGCGCAAUGGGGGCAACCCUGACGCAGCCAUGCCGCGUGAAUGAAGAAGGCCUUCGGGUUGUAAAGUUCUUUCGGUAGCGAGGAAGGCAUUUAGUUUAAUAGACUAGGUGAUUGACGUUAACUACAGAAGAAGCACCGGCUAACUCCGUGCCAGCAGCCGCGGUAAUACGGAGGGUGCGAGCGUUAAUCGGAAUAACUGGGCGUAAAGGGCACGCAGGCGGUGACUUAAGUGAGGUGUGAAAGCCCCGGGCUUAACCUGGGAAUUGCAUUUCAUACUGGGUCGCUAGAGUACUUUAGGGAGGGGUAGAAUUCCACGUGUAGCGGUGAAAUGCGUAGAGAUGUGGAGGAAUACCGAAGGCGAAGGCAGCCCCUUGGGAAUGUACUGACGCUCAUGUGCGAAAGCGUGGGGAGCAAACAGGAUUAGAUACC